CCUACGGGGGGCAGCAGUGGGGAAUAUUGGGCAAUGGGCGCAAGCCUGACCCAGCAAUGCCGCGUGAAGGAAGAAGGCUUUCGGGUUGUAAACUUCUUUGACAGGGGAAGAGCAGAAGACGGUACCCUGAAAACAAGCUACGGCUAACUACGUGCCAGCAGCCGCGGUAAUACGUAGGUGGCAAGCGUUGUCCGGAUUUACUGGGUGUAAAGGGCGUGUAGCCGGGAAGGCAAGUCAGAUGUGAAAUCUGGAGGCUCAACCUCCAAAUUGCAUUUGAAACUGUUUUUCUUGAGUACUGGAGAGGCGGACGGAAUUCCUUGUGUAGCGGUGAAAUGCGUAGAUAUAAGGAAGAACACCAGUGGCGAAGGCGGUCUGCUGGACAGCAACUGACGGUGAGGCGCGAAAGCGUGGGGAGCAAACAGGAUUAGAUACCCCAGUAGUC
rnacentral:rRNA from 1 species